CCCGACUGCUAUCGGAUUGAGAUUUAGCCAUGCGAGUCGAACGUUCCCCUGUUGCGGGGGGGCGUGGCGUACGGCUCAGUAACACGUAGUCAACCUGCCCUGGAGACCAGAAUAACCCCGGGAAACUGGGAUUAAUACUGGAUAGGUCAUCUCAUCUGGAAGGAGAGAUGGCUUAAAGGGGUGUGUGAGCUUCUUUCAUACAGCUGCUCCAGGAUGGGACUGCGACUGAUCAGGCUGUUGGCGGGGUAAUGGCCCACCAAACCAGUAACCAGUACGGGCCUUGAGAGAGGGGGCCCGGAGAUGGACACUGAGAGAAGGGUCCAGGUCCUACGGGGCGCAAGGCGCGAAACCUUCGCAAUGCGCGAAANUGACGAGGUUAAUCCGAGUGGUUCCCGCUGAGGGAAUCUUUUGUCGGCUCUAAAAAGGCCGGCGAAUAAGGGGAGGGCAAGUCUGGUGUCAGCCGCCGCGGUAAUACCAGCUCCUCGAGUGGUCGGGGCGAUUAUUGGGCCUAAAGCAUCCGUAGCCGGUUCUGUAGGUCCUCUGUUAAAUCCAACGGCUUAACCGUUGGCCCGCAGAGGAUACCGCAGGACUAGGAGGCGGGAGAGACAGACGGUACUCUACGUGUAGGGGUAAAAUCCUUUGAUCCGUAGAAGACCACCAGUGGCGAAGGCGGUCUGCCAGAACGCGCUCGACGGUGAGGGAUGAAAGCUGGGGGAGCGAACCGGAUUAGAUACCCGGGUAGUCCCAGCCGUAAACGAUGCGAGCUAGAUGAUUCGGUCGCAAAAUCGCGAUCGAAGUGUCGCAGGGAAGCCGUUAAGCUCGCCGCCUGGGGAGUACGGUCGCAAGACU
rnacentral:rRNA from 1 species